AUGUGAGUAUCAAUUGGUGACAUACGUCACUAAUACAUUACCACUCAGCUGUCUCGACUGCGUUCCCUCUUCGUUUCAUUUAAGAAUCGCCUCUCUUCAUUGUACAAGGCUGCCGAUCGACGACCGGCUGGAAAAGUUCCUCUUCUCUUCUCUCUCGACGACGUCCAGCCUCUCUUCACGCUCGUGAAAUUGUCUCUCAAAGGUUACUCCUCUCUUCUCUCUCUUUCUCUCUCCUCUGUUAUAGAUCUGUGUACUUGGGACUUCAUCUGUCCACUAUUGUUAACCUUCCACACACUCUCUCGAUUGAUGUGUGUGGCUCAAAAGGAAACGAGUGUUAGGAAACCCAUUUUUGCUCACCAUGUGUAGGGCUAUUGCUGAUCCUAUUGUUGAUUCACCAUGUUCAUAGCAUGCUAUUUGUUGAUCUUUCUCUAAUUUUUCACAUAGAACUAGGUUAAAACCCAUUCUUUUUUUAUGUAAGUGUUCUAUUUUUCUGCUGAUUUUAUAUACUUGUCUUUGAUACCAGAUUACAUAUGCAUAUAUAUCCCGAAUUUGUAUACUGGUUUUGAAUUGUUCAACUGAAAGAGUAAUGAAAAAUCUGAAAUUGUUCAGUAUUUAUCGGUUUGGUCUAGACUCUUUAGAAACAAAAGGCUAAGUAGGUGAUUAAAACUGGACUGCGAAUAGAAGAUAAUAUUUUGUAAUUUUUAUUUGGUUUAUAGCUGAUCAUCUAUUUUAAUUUGUAAAUUAUAUUUUAUCAUGUAAUACUCUUUUUUAGGCUAACAACUUUAAGCAAGUCUGAUGUUUCCAUGUCCAAGUGACAAUGUUCAUUAGUAAAACAACUUUUGAGUUCUUUUUUAAUAAGGUCAGUUCAGUUUAUAUUUUUAGAAGAGUCUUGUAAGUAUUUGUUGUAGUUUGUCAGAAGAAAAUCACUUCAUGGAUCCAAAUACUUAGCAGUUAAUGGAGUUGAUGUAAUUUUAUGGGAUGAGCAAGCUGAAGAAUACUUUAUAAUGUUGAUGGAAGAGGAAAGAAAUAAAGGAAAUAAAAAAAGAACCACCUUCACUAACGAAGGAUGGAUAAUUUAACCCACACAAUGAAAACUUGGACGGGAAGGAAUAGUCGAGUUUUUGACCAAAACAAAUUACGGAAUAAAUUCAAGCAAUUGAGAGAAAGAUAUGAGUGCUUCAAAAAGUUUCUAUCCAAUACUGGAUCAUCAUGGGACCCUACUUCUGGGCAAGUGACAUUGACUGAGGCUCAGUGGAAGGAGAUGUACAAGCAAAUUAGGGAUGCUAGGUGGUAUCGGCAAAAAGGGUGCAAACACUAUAACUUGCUUGGCUACUUGUUUGGUGACACAUCUGCUAACGGUGCUCGUUCCCAUCCUUCAACUCGGAGUCCACCACUCACUCGUUUGAAUGAUGAUGGACAGGAAGAUAAUGGACAAGAAUUACCACCUGUGGACACUGAGGUGGAGGGUAGUUUUCGUGCUAGAAGUCGGUCUCCCUACCGUCAACGUAAAACUAGAGAGAGCUUCCAACAUAGAAUAUGUAAUAUCAUGAGUGAAUAUAGUGAGCAUUCGAAGAGAAAAGCUCAUGCAAUAGAGAAAGCUUCUGACUAUAAUGUCCAUGAGAGUAAGAGUUGUGCUGUGAAAGUUGAUGAGGAGGCGGAGAGCUUGGAUGCUUUCUUGGCGGUGUUGGAUGGCAUGGAAGGUAUUGAUGAUGAUCGUUACUACAAGGCCCUAAACAAGUUCUGUGAAGAUCCUAGAUGUAAAUAUUCUAGAUGGGUCAAAAUAUUUCUUAGGCUUAAUGAAGAAAGGAGGUGGGGUUGGCUUUUGAAUAUGUGAUUCACUUGCCUGUUUAUGAUUGUUGAUUCACUUGCCUGUUUAUGUUGUUAUUAUUAUUAUUUUUGAUGAUUCGUACACAAUGUUAGCUUUAUGUAGACUUCUAUGUUCAUGUUUAUGGGGUUCAAUGUUUAGACUUAUAUAUGACAAUUUGAAGCCAAAGCCAUGUAGAACUUCUGGGUUUCAAGGCCAUUCCUAUAUAUUUGAAAUAUUAAAUGACCACCCUGCUAGAUGUUUUGAAAUGUUCAAGGUGGAAGUACAUGUCUUAUGUGAAUGGUUGAGGGGGUUGGGAUUAACGAUUCUAGGUACUUAACUACGCAAGAGUAAGUUGGAAACUUGGAAUGUUCUUGUCUACUCUUGCACACAAUGAGAGAGUUCAAGUAGUGGCAAAGAGAUUUCCACAUUCCACAGUUUUAGUCUCCAAAUAUUUCCAUCUGUGCUUUUAUUAUGUAUAGAAAUUGGGGCAGGAAAUAAUUUGUCCACCAGAUUUUAAUGGUGUACCCCCAGAAAUCCUCAACAUUGAGAAGUUUUAUCCAUUCUUCAAGGUUAUUGUUUCAAAAAUAAAAUAGAUUGUUCUUUUUUUUUUUUUAGUUGUAUUAUGAAAUUGAUACAAAUAUAUUGAAAAUGUAAAACUGUCUUGGAGCAAUUGAUGGAACGCACGUCCCCGCACAUGUUGCAUCAUCUAAACAAAUUCCUUAUCAUGGGAGGAAGUUAGAUACAGCACAAUGUUUUUUCCGUGUGCUCUUUUGACAUGUGGUUUUCUAAUGUAUUGGAUGGAUGGGAAGGAAGUGUAAAUGACUCGAGUUUUAAUGGAGGCUAUUUUCAAUCCUACUAUGCAAUUUCCAAGACCACCUAAAGGUAUGUUAUGUUGUUGCAAGGUUGUUUAUGUAUAUAAAUUCCAAAAAAAAAAGGUUGUUUAUGUAUUUAUUAAAAGUAUAUAUUAUUGUGCGGCAAUAUUUUGUGAUCGGUAAGUACUACCUGGUCGAAUUUGGAUGCGCUAAUAUGCCAAGGUUCCUAGCAUCUUAUCGUGGUGAGAGGUAUCAUUUGCAAGGCUAUAGAGGAUGUUGAGGACAACAAAUGUUAGUAAACAACAUUUCUGCGUUCUACUUCCACGUAGAAAAGCAAAAUCAUGAUUCUGCUUUCUUGAACCUGAAAAAAAGAAAGAGAAAGCGAAACUAAACACACCCUGAUAGUUCUGCUUUCAAGUAGCAUGACGAGGUACUAAAAAAAUGGAUUUUUUAGUACCUGCAAUAAUCUUUCUGAUCUUGUACUACUUAAUAUGCUCAUUUGUUGCGUCUUAUGCCAUACUUUUGAAUUCAUAACACCAAUAUGAAGCUUUACAUCUUCCUAAUUUUUUAUUUUUUAUUUAUAAGUAUUACAUCUCCCUAAAAUGAAACAAUGUCUUCUGACUUGAUGAUUAUUUGAUUGGUAAAUUGGGUUUGUUAUUUUACUUUCACACUUUCUAUAUCCCAAUGAUGAGGUAUUUAGUAAUCUGAAUUUCCAUGAAACUUGUUAGUUGGUGCUCCCUCUUGCAAUCUCAUUGCAGAGGUUGAGGAAACACGAUUUCAUGGCAGGUAGAUACUAGGCAUUUUGAGGGAUAUGGUGCACUUUGAUUUUAAUCUUGACUUGUGUUCAAUAGUUUUCCUACUUUUGUAGAAGAAAAUUUCCUCGUGGAAUUCUGAUGUUUAUGUAAUCUCAACUUAACUCAAUUCAGCCUUGUCCCAACUAUUUCAAGUCAGAUCCUGUUUUUUCAUUUUGUUUUAUUUAAUGCCAUAAGUUUAGUUAAACAACACACAAUUAUAUCUUUCUUUACUAUGUGAAACCAUGUCAAUUUUGAUCGCACCCUCCCUUUAACAUUAUUCUCAGUCACGUCAUUUUUAUUACUGUUGCAUUGUUCUUCCCUAUCCAUGUUCAAAGCACAUUAGUCGAUUUUAUGUUUUCACUUAUCCCCAAUAGACACUACUUUAAACAUUUUCUGAAUGUUACCAUUUCUAAUUUUAUCAUUUCUUGUCCUCAGAAUCAUCUCAAAAUUUGCAUUUUUGAUUAAGCUCAUUUCAUAGACAUGUUUAUAACUGCCAACAUUUUUAAAAAUUAAGGUAUGCGUUGGUCAGACAAUAUACCAGAAGCAGUUCUCUAUUUAACUUAUGCUUUAAUCAUAUGAACAACUUCAUCUCUCUCUCCCUUUAAAUAAGUAACUGAGUCCAAGUAUUGAAAAUGUUCCAUCUUUGCUAUCUCUUGAUCGUACAUCCCAGUUUGUAUUUUUAGUUUUUGAUAAACUUGCACCUUAAAGCACCCUUGAGUACGUUACAUAUUUUUUACAUAACCUUUUACCAGCAUGGAUGAAUGAAUUUUUGUUUAUUGUAGACCCAAGUUAUUGAGUUAGCAGAAAUACAUUACACAAUGGAGUGUGAAGGAUUGUUGAGGUUGCUUUUCAAUCCCGAUGAGGCAAUGACAUGGCAUGAUCAGAUUAGUCAGGCUAAUUUCUUACUAAGCUUUUGGGUCACAAUUGAUGGUUUUAGGUUUUCCAAGUUGCUGGAACAUGAUCCUGUUUGAAUUGGACAGCUUUCAGAUUGUUGGAUCACUACUGGAUGUCGCUGGAAAUAUGACUGGAGGACCUCCAAGAAUCAUUGGCAACCUUGAGUGCUUUAGGUGUCCGGACUGGAGGAUCCGUGCUAAGGCCUUCUGUGAUUUUAGAAAGAUGAUCAAUGAGAGAUGGAGAUAAUAGUGCAAAUUAUGUUUCGACUCUCCACAGCAUAAGCACUCUUUGUGAGCUUGUUUGAGUCGCAACACUGUGUGAUGGCUCAUGUGCCAUAUCAAAAGUUUUAAGAGAACCAGAAACAGAGCUCCUCAUAUCAUUGCAGGCUGCAAAGUUCUGUUGGAUCUCAUAAUGAUUCAUCUUCUUGUUCUGAUCUCUUUAUAAAUGGGUUUGGCAAGCUGUAGAGCAGUGAAGUUCCUCCUGAAGGAGAAUCAUAUAAGAAAUUGUACAGCUCAAGAGCAAGCAGUUAAAGGGGGUGGGGAGA